CAUCGGCAACCGGUCGAGCCUGUCUGAAAAGAUAAGUUCUCGGGUCCGAUACAAGCUUUCGUCGAUUUGACCACGGAUGUACUGGCAAACUGAUAAAAGCGAAUGAGGAAGGUCGGUGCGGUUUCGCCCCGGCCUUUUUUAUG
rnacentral:sRNA from 1 species